UUUGGGCUUUUGUUUCUUCUUUCUAAAGGGGGAGGAAAGAGGAAACUGAAGCUGAAA
ensembl:miRNA gga-mir-1630 gga-mir-1630